rnacentral:rRNA from 1 species
UGAACGCUGGCGGAAUGCUUUACACAUGCAAGUCGAACGGUAGAGGGGGCAACCCCUUGAGAGUGGCGAACGGGUGAGUAAUAUAUCGGAACGUGCCCAGUCGUGGGGGAUAACGUAGUGAAAAUUACGCUAAUACCGCAUACGAUCUAAGGAUGAAAGCGGGGGAUCGCAAGACCUCGCGCGACUGGAGCGGCCGAUAUCAGAUUAGGUAGUUGGUAGGGUAAAGGCCUACCAAGCCAACGAUCUGUAGCUGGUCUGAGAGGACGACCAGCCACACUGGAGCUGAGACACGGUCCAGACUCCUACGGGAGGCAGCAGUGGGGAAUUUUGGACAAUGGGCGAAAGCCUGAUCCAGCCAUUCCGCGUGCAGGAUGAAGGCCCUCGGGUUGUAAACUGCUUUUGUACAGAACGAAAAGGUUUCUAUUAAUACUAGGAGCUCAUGACGGUACUGUAAGAAUAAGCACCGGCUAACUACGUGCCAGCAGCCGCGGUA